rnacentral:rRNA from 1 species
ACGCGAAGAACCUUACCUACUCUUGACAUCCAGAGAACUUAGCAGAGAUGCUUUGGUGCCUUCGGGAACUCUGAGACAGGUGCUGCAUGGCUGUCGUCAGCUCGUGUUGUGAAAUGUUGGGUUAAGUCCCGCAACGAGCGCAACCCUUAUCCUUUGUUGCCAGCGGUCCGGCCGGGAACUCAAAGGAGACUGCCAGUGAUAAACUGGAGGAAGGUGGGGAUGACGUCAAGUCAUCAUGGCCCUUACGAGUAGGGCUACACACGUGCUACAAUGGCGCAUACAAAGAGAAGCGAACUCGCGAGAGCAAGCGGACCUCAUAAAGUGCGUCGUAGUCCGGAUUGGAGUCUGCAACUCGACUCCAUGAAGUCGGAAUCGCUAGUAAU